UACGUAGGGUGCAAGCGUUGUCCGGAAUUAUUGGGCGUAAAGAGCUCGUAGGCGGUUUGUCGCGUCUGGUGUGAAAACUCAAGGCUCAACCUUGAGCUUGCAUCGGGUACGGGCAGACUAGAGUGUGGUAGGGGUGACUGGAAUUCCUGGUGUAGCGGUGGAAUGCGCAGAUAUCAGGAGGAACACCGAUGGCGAAGGCAGGUCUCUGGGCAUUAACUGACGCUGAGGAGCGAAAGCAUGGGGAGCGAACAGG
rnacentral:rRNA from 1 species